GAAAGCAUUCUCUUAACAGAAGCUAAGAAGAGUUGCUGUAUGUAAGCUUUCCCUCAGCUGGAACAGAAGAAUUUUUGCUGUGAUGUCCUCCAGUUGUCCUCUGCUGAAAUCUGAGCUAUCAUGCUGAGGUGCAGAAGACAAAAGCAAAGUCUAGGCUGUACCUGUCUUCCGUCGAUAUCCUGGAAUACUGGUGAAUGCUGUUUCUUAAAUGUAUGAGUGAGAACAGUCAUCUUCCCAGUUGCAUGUUACAAUCCACAAUGGCCAUUUCCUACAAGAUAGAGAAAAGCAUAAAUAUUAUUCAAAUAAUCCAACAAUCAACUGUCAGCACUG